AGCAGCAGCCACGGGAAUACAGAGGGUGCAAGCGUUAAUCGGAAUUACUGGGCGUAAAGCGCGCGUAGGUGGUUCGCCAAGUUGGAUGUGAAAUCCCCGGGCUCAACCUGGGAACUGCAUCCAAAACUGGCGAGCUAGAGUAUGGUAGAGGGUGGUGGAAUUUCCUGUGUAGCGGUGAAAUGCGUAGAUAUAGGAAGGAACAUCAGUGGCGAAGGCGACCACCUGGACUGAUACUGACACUGAGGUGCGAAAGCGUGGGGAGCAAACAGGAUUAGAUACCCCUGUAGUCCUGUCUCUUAUACA
rnacentral:rRNA from 1 species